AAGCUGGGCUCGUUUGAUGGGCUUAUGGGAUUCUCUCAGGGGGCGAUUCUCUCUGCUGCGCUGCCAGGUCUGCAAGCCAAGGGAUUGGCGUUGACUAGGGUGCCGAAGAUUAAGUACUUAAUGAUCAUCAGUGGGGCUAAGUUCGCGUCACCGGAGCUGGCGGAGAAGGCGUACUCGCCGAAGAUUGCUUGCCCGUCCCUCCAUUUUAUAGGUG
rnacentral:misc_RNA from 1 species